GAAAGGAGAGGAAUAAGGGGGGAAAAAGAAAAGACUAUGCCUUUGGUGUUACCAAGUCAUCUGUACUAUGCUUCAAAUUGAGCGUUCUAUUAAAAUUUGUCGCUAGAAACCAAAAUUCUUCUUUGUUGAUAUGCUCUCAGCCAUGUUUUCCUGUGAUGUUUUCUUAAGUAAAAAAAUUGCUUCGCAGCUUUUCCUUUCUAAUUCUUCAUUUUUUUUUAUGAAAUGGUCUGUGCAAG
rnacentral:misc_RNA from 1 species